rnacentral:tRNA from 1 species
GGGUUGCAUCUCUGGUGACAGUCCACGAAAAUCCAGAAAAAUACAUGAUUUCGGACUUUUAAUCCGUUGGUCGCGCGUUCGAGUCGCGCACGACCCACCA